CGGGGGGCAGCAGUGGGGAAUAUUGCGCAAUGGGCGAAAGCCUGACGCAGCAACGCCGCGUGAGUGAAGAAGGCCUUCGGGUUGUAAAGCUCUGUCAGAGGGAAAGAAUAUGGCUGGCAACACCAGCCUUUGACGGUACCCUCGAAGGAAGCACUGGCUAACUCCGUGCCAGCAGCCGCGGUAAUACGGAGAGUGCAAGCGUUGUUCGGAAUUAUUGGGCGUAAAGCGCGUGUAGGUGGUUCGACAAGUCUGAUGUGAAAGCCCAGGGCUCAACCCUGGAAGUGCAUUGGAAACUGUCGAACUUGAGUACUGGAGGGGGAAGUGGAAUUCUCGAGUGUAGAGGUGAAAUUCGUAGAUAUUCGGAAGAACAUCAGUGGCGAAGGCGACUUCCUGGACAGAUACUGACACUGAGACGCGAAAGCGUGGGUAGCAAACAGGAUUAGAUACCCGAGU
rnacentral:rRNA from 1 species